ensembl:lncRNA
AAAGAUUAAAAAUAUUUUAUUUACACUUUCUUUUAUACACAUUUUAUACAGUUUUUCAGUUUGAAACCCGAACAGAGCGCAUAUGCAAGUCUGAGCAUACUGUCUCCACAGCUAGGGAAAAUUACUUUUUGCCAAGAAAAGACAAGAAAAAAGGCUUUAAAACAGUUAAAAAGAGGCAAUUCUUAAAUUAUUCAGAGAAGUUUAUAGCAGCCCUGGGGUAAUCAUUAGACAAUUAAUCCAAAUGUACAUAUGAGGUCAUAUAUAUAUUUUUAAUUUUCUAUAGGAAAAGUAUUUCCAAUUGCUAAACACAAACACAGUACAGUCUGAAAAUAACUUUUCCCAUUAACUUAUCAAAUACUUAUCAAAUACAUUCUUUGCAAUGCAAACAAUCUGAUAUUGUACACUGGACUCAAGUGGGAUACUAUAGUGGAAUUGCAAACUCCAGCAUAUAAUAAUUUAUUUUAAAAAGAUCUACAAAAAUAACAAUAUAUAGGGAAAAAUUUUUAAAAUAAAAACAUAGCUCACUCUUCCCUUCACCUGUUCCCAGAACUGACAUAAAAGUUAGGUGGGUCCCACUGAGGUAAUAAAAGCCCCCUAAGAAUAGCUAACUUUACAGUCCUACAUAACACUUUAUUUUCUAGACUUACAAUAAGGUUUUCGACCAGAGCCAUAAAUAAAAACUACCAUCUGCAAAUAGAAGUGGUCUUCCCCCAGCUACCAACUUAAUAUUACUCCAAAGGUAUUUGAAAUUCAGCUUUAAAAGUUAUUUUUAAAAGACUAUAUAAACAUCAUUUGAAAUUUGGGAAGUGGAAAAAAAAUAACAGAGGGAAAUCACGGAAAGCAUGCUCAAAACCAGCCAGUUUUUCUGCCACCUGUCACAUACAACUACGUUUUAUGAAGUUUACCCACACAAACUGGAAUUUUAAAGUUUCUCACCAACUUUCAAAAAUAGAAUACAGAUGUGAAAGUAGUCAUUAGUAUUCAUUUUAAGCAGCUUCAGACUGGUUUACAAACAUUAAAUCUGAAAAUGUUAGCUACAGGACACUGACAAGCUUUGUUUUAAAUAGAUGACAGGUUUUCCAGUUAUAUUCUUUCCCACUCUCCUUCAGCGAGCCCUGCCACAUAUGAUGGACCAUGCUUAGUCAUGCAACUUCACCAGCUACAUAUUUAUUAAUGGAAGAAGAGCAGGACAGAUGUUUUCUUGGAUGCCCCCAACCUCAUAAACACUUAAGCACAGGUUUAAUAACAUUUGCACUUUUAAGUUUUCUUAUAAGUACCUUACAAUUUUCUGUUCUCUUUGUAUUGGACUGUUCACAUCUGUGAAGUACGCAUUUGAAGUGUUAAAAGAAUCAGGGUCUCGAUUCACUAUUUUAUUUUUUUAAAGGAAAAAGAUAUUUAAAAGGCAAAAUACCUCUACGAAUGUGACUACUUCUAAAAAGACUUUGUCACAUAAAUGCCGACACAGCUUGAAGUUCAUUCUUAAAAAGCUGUUACCAUCUCCCCAUAAUGCUUUUGUUGAAGAACGGACAUAAUGAGUAAAGCAAUGCUGUUUUAACUGAUUUGAAUUUGUACCUGCUGAAUUUUAUCCUUUGCUUCCUGAGCAUCAAGUGAAGCUUCGUUCCUGAUGCAAGUAGUUAGCAUAUUAUGAGCACGAAAAAACACAUCACUUGGGUUUGUAAGGCAGGAGAUCCUCAAGAAAAAAUGGCUGCAAAUCUCAGAAACCAGAGAAAUAUUAUAGUCACAAACCCUUACAGCUAGUUGUAACAGGACUGCUAUCAUACUGCAGGAAGUAGGGCAUCCACACUUCAAAAGUAAGUAACAUACUAAAGCAGCAUAUCACAUGCUACCACUCACCCCCCUUGCUAGCAGUCCUUUCUGAAAUAGCAGCCUUUGUAAAAUCAAGUACUGCCUUCUUCCAGCUGAAUCAAUGGGGAAAAAAAAUUCAGAAGGGUUUUUUUUGCCACCUAGUACCUCCCACUAGUACCAACACUUUGUGAGGAAAAAUGAGCUAUUUCUGAAAUUUGAACAAAAUUAUCUGCCCCCCAAGAGCAGACAUAGCAGAAUGCUGAAUGGGAACUGGCAGUGUCCAACCCCUUUAUAGGAGCACUGUACUUUUUGCCCAUUCUUGCUCAUCUGAAAACAAGUAUCCUC